CCUACGGGAGGCAGCAGUGAGGAAUAUUGGUCAAUGGGCGCUAGCCUGAACCAGCCAAGUAGCGUGAAGGAUGACUGCUCUAUGGUUUGUAAACUUCUUUUAUAUGGGAAUAAAGUGCAGUAUGUAUACUUUUUUGUAUGUACCUUAUGAAUAAGCAUCGGCUAACUCCGUGCCAGCAGCCGCGGUAAUACGGAGGAUCCGAGCGUUAUCCGGAUUUAUUGGGUUUAAAGGGUGCGUAGGCGGUUAGUUAAGUCAGUGGUGAAAGUUUGUGGCUCAACCAUAAAAUUGCCGUUGAUACUGGUUGACUUGAGUAUAUUUGAGGUAGGCGGAAUGCGUGGUGUAGCGGUGAAAUGCAUAGAUAUCACGCAGAACUCCGAUUGCGAAGGCAGCUUACUAAACUAUAACUGACACUGAUGCACGAAAGUGUGGGUAUCAAACAGGAUUAGAUACCCCAGUAGUC
rnacentral:rRNA from 1 species